rnacentral:rRNA from 1 species
UACGUAGGGUGCGAGCGUUGUCCGGAAUCACUGGGCGUAAAGGGCGCGUAGGCGGCCUGAUAAGUAGGGUGUGAAAUCUUGCGGCUUAACCGCAAGGCUGCCUUCUAAACUGUCAGGCUAGAGCACAGUAGAGGCAGGUGGAAUUCCCGGUGUAGCGGUGGAAUGCGUAGAGAUCGGGAAGAACAUCAGUGGCGAAGGCGGCCUGCUGGGCUGUUGCUGACGCUGAGGCUCGACAGCGUGGGGAGCAAACAGG